rnacentral:rRNA from 1 species
CUCGGAGUUUGAUCCUGGCUCAGGAUGAACGCUAGCGGCAGGCUUAACACAUGCAAGUCGAGGGGUAUAGUUCUUCGGAACUAGAGACCGGCGCACGGGUGCGUAACGCGUAUGCAAUCUACCUUUUACAGAGGGAUAGCCCAGAGAAAUUUGGAUUAAUACCUCAUAGUAUGCAGAGUUGGCAUCAACACUGCAUUAAAGUCACAACGGUGAAACGAUGAGCAUGCGUCCCAUUAGCUU